rnacentral:rRNA from 1 species
AUUGAACGCUGGCGGCAUGCUUUACACAUGCAAGUCGAACGGUAACAGGGAGCUUGCUCCGCUGACGAGUGGCGAACGGGUGAGUAAUGCGUCGGAACGUGCCGAGUAGUGGGGGAUAACGCAUCGAAAGGUGUGCUAAUACCGCAUACGUACUGAGGUAGAAAGUGGGGGACCUUCGGGCCUCACGCUAUUCGAGCGGCCGACGUCUGAUUAGCUAGUUGGUGAGGUAAAGGCUCACCAAGGCGACGAUCAGUAGCGGGUCUGAGAGGAUGAGCCGCCACACUGGGGCUGAGACACGGCCCAGACUCCUACGGGAGUGAGCAGUGGGGAAUUUUGGACAAUGGGCGCAAGCCUGAUCCAGCCAUGCCGCGUGUCUGAAGAAGGCCUUCGGGUUGUAAAGGACUUUUGUCCGGGAGCAAAUGCCUGGUGUUAAUAGCAUCGGGAGCUGAGAGUACCGGAAGAAUAAGCACCGGCUAACUACGUGCCAGCAGCCGCCGUAACAC